AGACUUUCCCGAAGCGGAUCCUCUGUUUGGCCCACCACCCAGGACAAUGGAUCGCAUCCCAGCCGGCGACCCAAAACAACGGCGCCGCAGAAGGGGCAGACGGAGCGGUCUUCUGGUCAGGCUCCGUAGACGGGCACAUCACGCACCGCUCCCGAGCAUACUACUCGCCAAUGUCCAGUCUCUUGACAACAAGGUAGACGAAAUCCGAGCAAGGGUUGCCUUCCAGAGAGACAUCAGAGAUUGUAACGUUCUUUGUUUCACGGAAACAUGGCUCACUUGGGAUACGUUAUCAGAGUUGGUACAGCCACCCGGUUUCUUCACGCAUCGCGCCGACAGAAACAAACAUCUCUCUGGUAAGAAGAAGGGCGGGGUGUAUGCCUUAUGAUUAACGAGACGGGGUGUGAUCAUAACAACAUACAGGAACUCAAGUCCUUUUGUUCACCUGACUUAGAAUUCCUCACUAUCAAAUGCUGACCGCAUUAUCUACCAAGAGAAUUCUCUUCAAUUAUAAUCACAGUCGUGUAUAUCCCCCCCAAGCAGACACAUCGAUGGCCCUGAACAAACUUCAUUGGACACUAUGUAAACUGGAAACCACAUAUCCUGAGGCUCCAAACAGCAAGUAAUGCUUCUACACCUGCAUUACUUGCUGUUUGGGAGGUUAAGCUGGGUUUCUGUACAGCACUUUGAGAUAUCAGCUGAUGUAAGAAGGGCUAUAUAAAUACAUUUGAUUUGAUUUGAUUUAUUGUAGCUGGGGAUUUUAACAAGGCUAAUCUGAAAACAAGGCUCCCUAAAUUUUAUCAGCAUAUCGAAUGCGCGACCCGGGCUGGCAAAACCCUGGAUCAUUGUUAUUCUAACUUCCGUGAUGCAUACAAAGCCCUCCCCCGCCCUCCUUUGGGAAAAUCUGACCACGACUCCAUUUUGUUGCUCCCAGCCUAUAGGCAGAAACUAAAACAGGAAACGCCCGUGCUCAGGUCUAUUCAACGCUGGUCCGACCAAUUGGAUUCCACGCUUCAAGAUUGCUUCGAUCACGUGGACUGGGAUAUGUUCCGCAUAGCGUCGGACAACAACAUUGAUGAAUACGCUGAUUCGGUGAGCGAGUUUAUUAGCAAGUGCAUCGGUGUUGUUGUACCCACAGCAACUAUUAAAACCUUCCCCAACCAGAAACCGUGGAUUGAUGGCAGCAUUCGCGCAAAACUGAAAGCGCGAACCACUGCUUUUAAUCAGGGCAAGGCGACCAGAAACAUGACCGAAUACAAACAGUGUAGCCAUUCCCACCACAAAGCAAUCAAACAAGCUAAGCGUCAGUAUAGAGACAAAGUAGAGUCGCAAUUCAACGGCUCAGACACGAGAGGUAUGUGGCAGGGUCUACAGUCAAUCACGGACUACAAAAAGAAAACCAGAACCGUCGCGGACCACGAUGUCUUGCUCCCAGACAAACUAAACAACUUCUUUGCUCACUUUGAGGACAAUACAGUGCCACCGACACGGCCAGCUACCAAAACCUGCGGUCUCUCCUUCACUGCAGCCAACAUGAGUAAAACAUUUAAAAGUGUUAACCCUCGCAAGGCUGCUGGCCCAGACGGCAUCCCUAGCCGCUUCCUCAGAGCAUGCGCAGACCAGCUGGCUGGUGUGUUUACGGACAUAUUCAAUCAAACCUUAUCCCAGUCUGCUGUUCCCACAUGCUUCAAGAGGGCCACCAUUGUUCCUGUUCCCAAGAAAGCUAAGGUAACUGAGCUAAAUGACUACCGCCCCGUAGCACUCACUUCCAUCAUCAUGGAGUGCUUUGAGAGACUAGUCAAGGACCAUAUCACCUCCACCCUACCUGACACCCUAGACCCAAUCCAUUUGCUUACCGCCCCAAUAGGUCCACAGACGACGCAAUCGCAAUCACACUGCACACUGCCCUAACCCAUCUGGACAAGAGGAAUACCUAUGUAAGAAUGCCGUUCAUUGACUAGAGCUCAGUAUUUAACACCAUAGUACCUUCCAAACUCAUCAUUAAGCUCGAGACCCUGGGUCUCGACCCCGCCCUGUGCAACUGGGUCCUGGACUUGCUGACGGGCCACCCCCAGGUGGU
rnacentral:lncRNA from 1 species